rnacentral:rRNA from 1 species
UACGUAGGGGGCAAGCGUUGUCCGGAUUUAUUGGGCGUAAAGAGCGUGUAGGCGGCUUGGCAAGUCCGCUGUGAAAACUCGAGGCUUAACCCUCGAGACGUCGGUGGAAACUGCCUGGCUAGAGUCCGGAAGAGGAGAGUGGAAUUCCUGGUGGUAGCGGUGAAAUGCGCAGAUAUCAGGAAGAACACCCGUGGCUAAGGCGGCUCUCUAGUACGGUACUGACGCUGAGACGCGAAAGCGUGGGGAGCGAACAGG